rnacentral:rRNA from 1 species
UACGAAGGGGGCUAGCGUUGCUCGGAAUCACUGGGCGUAAAGCGCACGUAGGCGGAUUGUUAAGUCAGGGGUGAAAUCCUGGAGCUCAACUCCAGAACUGCCCUUGAUACUGAUGAUCUUGAGUUCGAGAGAGGUUGGUGGAAUUCCGAGUGUAGAGGUGAAAUUCGUAGAUAUUCGGAAGAACACCGGUGGCGAAGGCGGCCAACUGGCUCGAUACUGACGCUGAGGUGCGAAAGCGUGGGGAGCAAAC